CAGAAUUGGAGCCUUUGAAGGAUUUGAAUGAAGCAUAUGUAUGCAUGCUAUGGUUCAUCUUAGGUGAGUGCGAAUCUUCAACAUCUGUCUCAUGUCGCUUCUGGGAAAAUGCUUUUAAUUGUUUUAUUAUCGAUGAUAUCAAUUUGGUAGCAGCCUUUGAGUGGUGGCAAGAUUAUGUGCAUAGUAUACUUUCAGCACUGUAGGAUCGAGUAAAUGGAGCGGUGGUUCAUGCAUCACUCCCCGCCAAUACGAUGGAAUUAGUCACAAUGAUGACUUGAACUGCCGAUAUUUGAUCUGGGGACAAUUGCAACUGCCACUAAUGGUUUCUCCAUCGGUAACAAGCUUGGCGAGGGUGGCUUUGGACCAGUAUAUAAGGUUAGAUGUUCAACGAAUUGAUUCUUCGGCAUCCAAGCUAGGUUUAUGUGGCAUCAAAGGCCACGGGCCCACGGUACAUGCUGUACUGACAUAUAUUCAGUCCAUUAUAAAUAUUUACCCUCCAUUUUCAGUGUAGAUUUUUUUCUCUUUUGAGGAUAUUCAGUUCAGAAAAUUAUUUACCAUUAUCUUGCAAAGUAGCAUAGCAAAGUGUAAGAAUAUUUUUCCAAGACCAGUAGCCGUUCCCAUAUAAAAUAUUAAUUCCCAUUUGAUGUCAGUUUUACAUUGCUCUUUCAACCGUCAAAAGAUAAAUAAUAUCCUUAGGAAUAAGACAUCAAAGCUUUGUAUGUGUUUUUCAAUGAGAUUCAGCUGCUAAACAAUUGCUAUGAAGGCAACAUCUGUUUAUUUUACAUGCUGAUUUUCUUAACUACAUUAACUUCCAAAGUAUUUAUUUUGUUGAUCAAGAAAUAUCACUCUACUGUCAGAUAAGAAGGUCUCUCUGUAAGGAGGAUUUUUUAUGUUAUGUACUUUGCUCCCAGAGAUAAUUUGAUCCACCAGCAUUAUUGAUUCUGUUAGGUAUUGUCAGUUAACUGUACGUCUUCUUCUUUACCCCUUAUUCUUCUCCUUCUUUACCUUUGAUGAUUCAAGGAUAGGCCCUCCGCCGCCGCAGCUGCGCUUUAUUGAACUAAGUUGUUCUCUUUUUGAGAGAGUAUUGCGCUAAGAUGUUUUAUAUCCUUAUUAUAGGGAUACAAGCUCCGUGAACCAUUCAUGUAGUUACCGAUUUUAGACAGAUUUUGUUUCAGUUAUGAAGGUUUAGAGAGAUAUAUGAAUGAUCUGGAGUUUCAGUUAUCAUUUGAGCUACUUCCCCAUUCGUAUUCUUAACAUUAAUCCAUCCUAUUAGUAUUAAUUAAUUAUGAUGCUGCCAUGUUCAUUUCUGCCCUUGGAGGGAGAUGAAUAUAUGGUGCUGCCAGCGCAGCACUUAAGGGCAUGGAGGCUGUCAAGGCGAAAGAGGCAUGUUCUCAACCACCAAAUUACGAUGUUGAGUAGUGCCCGAGCGGAAGAUAGCAAGGCGGUUGACGUAGGAUACGGAGUAAGCAGAGCUAGCGGCAGUGGACGCAGCUACCACACGUCGGUGGGCGCACCAGAGGCACAACACACGGUGGACAUCGAGGAUGUAGUGCACAUCAAAGCAGUCGCCGCUCCGCGGUAAAUUAGAUAGACAAAAUACAUGACAUGUUAGGCUGUUACUCGCUAGUAGCAGAAAUAUUCAGCUUAUUCAUGAGGUAACAGCAGGGUCUGUUGCGCUGAAUCUUUGAGAUGAAACCAAACCAAACUAAUACAUACCUAGCAUCUGUCCAGAAGUCUUGAUUACGAAAUAUAUAUGGUCCCAUUUUAAAUUUCAGAGGAUAUGCUCGGUUAUCUGUUCUUUUGUAGGGAUUUGAGAAAAAAUAAAAGAAAAAACACUUAUAAUAAGGCAAUGGCUUCGUGAGAAAGCACAAGAAAUAUCGUUGCGCGGCAGCAAGGCAUACCUUAAUUUGCUUCAUGGUGAACUGGAAAUGUGCUUUUAUGUCAAACUGAAAAAAUAUAUAUGUUGUCUGCUAGCACCGUAAUAUGUCCAUCCAUUAACCACUAUUUUGUCGAAAUACAUGCCUCUGCUUCUGGUUAUUACAAGCUAGGUAGUAUUGUGGCAGUGAUCGGAAACUUCUACACAACUCAUCACCAUCAUGUCCAUGCCCCAGACUUGGGUGAGUGCUCAAGGAAGAAUUUUGUAGUUCCACUGUUGGAUUCCAAGCAGGCAAUUCAUGAUCAGCCUUGCGCAAGCUAUGGAGUUUCAAGAAAUCGAUUGACAGGUGGAGUGACUGCUGGGGUCAUAAACGAAGAAACAAUGAAGUCACUGGACAACAAAGCAGAUUAUUUAUUCCCAAUGUCGUUGCUCUUGCAAAAUUGCAGGCCUAUUGGUUAUGUGAUAAGCAACCACUGGACCCUUUCUACAAGCACAUAAAUGUUGAUGAUGUACAUGACAAUGAUUGUUACCUAUUUAUCUUAACUGUGACCUUGCUUUGGCAUUUCAGAAACAUUGUAGUUGCUUAUUUGUAUCCUAUACUUUUGGGUGAUUUUACCAGUACCUUGCUUAUGUUUGUACAGUAUUACUGGAUAUCUAAUGGAGCUUUCAUUAUCGUACUGCUUAUUCCACCCCUUGCUUUGCUUUCCCCUUUUCUGGCUGGUCUCGAUGCCCCGUAUUUCUACACUUGGAAUACUACUUCUGUCCCUGUCGAGUUCGAUAUGGAUAUGCCCCAAAAUGUAUUUUUGUUUUGCUAAACAGUUUAAUGCAACUUAGUGAUAAAAUAUGUCUCCUAUUUAUGUACACUUCCUCUCAAUCACCAAUAUGGUCCCAGUUAUCCAUGUUUAUGUAUGUGUUGUCUGCAGGUGGUUAUGUUGGUUUUAUCUUCCGGUUGGUUGUUAGUCCCCUACAAGAGUUGUCACAAUAUGAAAAGGCUCCAAAAGGUGUCACGGUCAGGAAUCUUUUUUCCAGGCAUCCGGUGAUGAUUAGGUAACCAAACCAUAUCACAGGAUGUGUGUUUGUGUGGUCUGGCAAAGUAAUGCUCUUCUUUUGUGAGAAGAGGGCCACAGUACCAAUUGGGCAGACUUUGUCAAGGUGACAGGAAUAAAAGAAUAACAUAUACUCAGAUAAGGAUCUUCGCCUUCAAGAUUAUAAGGGGAAAUUAUUGCUCACUGUCCUGUCCAUACGCUUUAGAAGGAAAUCACAAGUGUAUUUUUCUAUACAAAACCAUUAUGUGAUCAUCUAUAUUACGAACUAUUCACACCAGAUUCAUAUGGAAUGGCACUCAUGGCGGUAGUUGAACCAAAGCUAUCUAUCAGUACGCCUAACUAUGGCUUCGUAGUUUUAGCGCAUCCACUGCCACUGUGUUGGCUUUUGCUCUCUAAUGUAACUACUUGUACUACUGAACUAAUUAGCUUUUGUAAUAUCAUGGCUGCAUUGAACUUGAUGUUGCCUUACUUCUGUGGCCGG
rnacentral:rRNA from 1 species